UAAAAUUUGAAAUAUAACAUAUAAGAAAAAUAUAUAUUAUAUGGCUAAUGUGAUUGUUUAGUAUCUUUUAAUAAUAUAAGAUUAAACAAAAAAGAGCUAAAAUACAAAAAUUGUUAUCAAAUAUUUAUUAUUCAUAAUCAUUAAUUGUCAUAUAUACGUUAAUCAUAUUAGGUAAUUUCGUAGAUUUUACUUAAGGAAAGUGCGAGAAUAUUCUUUUGUAUAUUAUUUAUCAAUUUGAUAGUUAGUUUAAAAAAAUAAUAUAAAUUAAGAUGGACCAACCUAUUUUUCUAAGAAUUGUGAAUUUCAUUUUCAUGGUGACACGUGCCUACAAAACAAUGUUGGAAUGUUUCUCAAUUAAUAUAUAAGAGAUUCCAAGACUAUGGUCUUCAUUCUUUGUGAGAUCUUUCAUCGGAUUUGAGGCAUACUCAUUUUCAUAUUCAUGACUAAAAAACUUUAGUAUGAAUUUAUCAAAUUUUUGAAAAAAAAUCUAAUUAAAUGUUAAUAUAACUUAUAUUCCCAUUUUAAAAGAAAAUCAAAUACCACUAUCUUUUUUUCAAUACCAAUAUCUUAAAAUGUUUCAGUACAUAAAUAAUAAUCUUAAAAAGUUAAUGUUGAAGGAAUUGAAUUAUUAUUUUGAUAUAGAAUAGUGUUUCAAAAUAAAUAAAAAUUUCAAAAAAAAUCUUUGUAAACCAUGAAAAAGGAAAAUUAAAAGCUCCAGUGAUUUUAACUAAAAAAAUUAUGUCAUACUCGUCCUCCAAAAACUAAUUAAAUAAAAAUUUAUUUACAUGUUAAAAAUUAGUAAAAGACAACUAAACUAAAAGAAACUUGCAUAAUUACAAGCCUACCAAAGGUAUUUCCCGGACCAUCCAGAUCCAACCCAUAAAAUUUGGAAGGAGCUCCAUAACUUCCGAAUCCAGAAUGGUAUAAUUUAGUAAACUUGGUGUAACUGUAAAAUUUUGUAUAACUGAGUAAGAUUUGUUGUAGCUGUAUAACUUAGUAAGACUUGGUUAGCUGUGAAACUUUGUAUAAUUUAGUAAGACUUGAUGUAGCUGUAAGACUUUGUAUAACUUAGUGAAAAUUUAUUCUGUUAUUUUUUUUUUUUUGGAUGCAGGUGUUGUUAUUGAUAUAUUUACUGACGUUAAAAAUAAAAAAGAAAGAUUAAUUUAUAGAGAAAAACUAGAUAAACUAGAUAAAUUACAUAAUGUAAAAUUUCUUUUUCAAAUGUCAAAUUCAAGUCAUCUCCUCCUCACUGUGGUCACCAUGGUCGGGAACAGAGUUGUGGCCGCCAAAAUCAUCGUCGCUUUGGUUGGAGAUGAAAGAGAAAGCUUCACAGGAGCAACAAUGGUGAACUUUUGAUUAUUUGCACAUCUGGUCUUACAACUUUUGUUUAUUUUUCAAUUUGCCGCAAUUUUUUUUCACAAAUUUUCUCUUAGACUUUUAAUUGUGCAAUCUAGACCAAAAGAAUAUUCUGAUUUUACAACAUCUAUGACUGCCAUUUUGUUUUAUUUUGUUUCUGCCACAGAUGUUUCUGAUUUUCAAAUAAAUCCAUUUUAUUUGGUCUCAUAUUUCUAAAUGUGCAUAUAUAUAUGUGUAUAUAUUUAAAUGCAUCUUAAAAUGAUUAAUAUGAGCUAAAUGAGAUGAUAAAUAUCUGUAAAAUGAUAACAUAUCAAUGGUGUAUAAAUAAUUUCUUGUGUACAUUGUUUCUUAUGAUAUUUGCAUGUAGUCAUAUGUACAUGACACUAUGUAGAAACUUAAUAUUUUGCUUAAAAACCAGAAACUUAAUAUUUUGCUUAAAAACUAAAAAAAUUAUUUUAGCUAAAACUGAAAAUACUUAAGGAUUUGCUAAAGUAUUUACGCAUAUUAAAAAAUACAGAAAUAUUUAGAAAAUAUAACUUUACGGAACAAAGAAUAUAUUUAUUCAGUGAUAGACAUGAUAUCUGCAUACCAUUUGACAGCAUUCAACAAUAUUAUUUAAGUAUGAUCCACACGUACGAUGAUUCUUGAAUAUCUAUAUGUACAUGUCAUGGUAUACACAAACAUUUUCGGUAUCCACAUGUACAACAAUGAAUAUGUACAAGGUUUUAUGAUAAAUAACAUGUACAAAUGUUCAUUGGUACUUUGCGCAAGUUAUGAUAUUUAAUGAUUUUGAGUAAGUUGUUUAGUUCAUUUAGAUCUCGUUAGGUUUCAUUAGAUAUAUAUAUAUAUAGAAAUAUGUAUUGAAUUUGUUUGUACAAUAACCUGUACAAUAAUACAUAGAAACCGGAUAAUUUUGUAGAUACAUAUGCAAGAAAUCACAUAUACACCUGAUAAAUUUGUUAGAAACAUUUUAAAUUUGCAAUAUUUGCAUGGUUAAAAAUUGUCAUGGUGUACACUUUUUUUUAUUGUCCACACGUACAACGUUUCACCAAAAAGAACACAUGUACACCAAAUAGGACAAUUAGAAAUAAUGAUAAUUUAUGAUUUGAAUGAUUUUGAAUAUCUUGUUUUAGUUAAUUUAGAUCAUUUAAAAUUUUAUUUAUGUUUAUAUUACAUUUAAAUGGUUUUUACCAUUUUAAUUUAGUUAAAUUUUAUACACUCUAUUUGCUUCAUCUUAACAUUUUAUGAUUUUAAUGAUAUUUAGCAUUUUAAUUUAGUUACUUUAAGUCAUUUUAGGUUAUAUUUUGUAAUAUACAUUGCGAUUAUGCGUUCAUAUGUAUAUACUAAGGGAAACAGUGCAUAUUUGUAAGUUUAGGAUCAAUUAAAGAGGACAAAUUUGUAUAUUCAAAAAUUUGGGGUCAAAUAACAAUAAAGCUAAUUAUGAAGGGCUUAAAAUGAAAAUAAAAGAAAUUGUUUGGGUAACGCUCGCUCGAUCCUGAUCUCAGGCUCGAGUUUCAGUUCGCCAUGGGAAGAGCUCAAUCAAAGCAAAGGAUCGUGGGAGAAGGUCUCGGUGGUGAUAAGGUUGCGGCGGUGACCUGAAAUCAUUGAGAAGAUUUGAAAUUGUUGAGAACAAAAAGGACUGCGGCGGAAUGGAGCUUGUUGCGGUGGAUUGGAGCUUGUCGGCGGAGCUCGGAUGGAGCAAUGGAUCUCUGUCUUUUUUUAUCAAGGAUAUCUGUCUCUUUAAGCUUGUAACCAUGGAUCUCUGUCUUUUCAAGCUUAGGAUUCACAAAAAGAGAUGAGUUCGCCGUCGUCUUCUGUCGGAGUAAACCUGUCGUCAUCUAAGGUCAUGAGCUCUGCCACGCCGACGGUUCUUAGCUCGGCCACAAGAACGGCAACUAGAGAUGGAAGCUUGUUGUCUCUCUCAUUUGCCUCCCUAUCUUUCUUUCAAUGUUAGUUAGGUCAUUGGAGAUUAUCAGAGAUUGAAAAAAAGAAUUUUUGUUAUUUGAUUUAGUGAUAAUUAAAGAACGUCGUGGAUGAAUUGAAAAAUGUAUAAUUAUAAAACUUAAAAGAAAAUGUUUUGAACAUUUUAAAAUUAAAAAUAUGUAAAAAACAAAUCCUCUGAACAAAAAAAGAAGGAGAAUUUGAUCUUAGAAAGAAUAAGUUGAUAAGAAAGAGAACUAUCCUAAUAUAAAGAAGUGUCUUAUAAUGUAAUAUUAAACUAGAAAAAGUGUCUUAUAGUGUAAAUGUUUCUUAUUGAACUCCUACAAACUUAAGACUAACGUCUUUUCAAGUUCGUAUUUAAGUGACGUUGGAGGUGAUGAAAGCUUUGAUUCGAAAUCAAGUGGCAAUUGUCUGUUUGUAUAUAGUUUUGAAUCUGUGCUGUCAAAUAAAUUCAGUCCGUAUCACGCUUUCAUUUGUUUAUUUUUUUGGGCUACACUUUCCUAUAUAAGAACUUGAAAAGACGUUAGUCUAGGAGUUAAUUGACUAAUUUUAGUCUAGGAGUUAAUCAACCAAGAAGUUGAAUUGGUUAGAGUAGCUUUUAUAACUAUUUUUUAAUAAUUACUAUUUUUGGUUAAAGUACAGUAUGCAGCAUGUAUAAUGUAAAACCAAUUCAACUUCUUGGAACUGAACUUUUUCAUAGAAAAGAUAUAAAACUAACUCGUAUAUUUUAAAACUUUCAUCAUUAUAUUGAAGGUGUAGCAGGUAGUAACGAUCAUGCAUUAUAUAUAUGCUGAACGUUAAUCUCGUCCAAAACUUUUAAACAAAACAUGAACUAAUUUUUUUGUUGCAUUCCUAAUAAUUUACCAAACAAUCGGCUAGACACUCAAUUCAGAAUAUAAUUAAGUUUCGUAUGUAGUUCUUUUUUCCUCUUUGGAUGAAGUGAUAACUUGGGUUUAAGAAAGUCUCGCAUUACACAAACACCCAUAUCACGGUCUAUCCAUGAACUGGCUUGUUCUGUAGCAUUGUUAAAGCAAUGAUAUGAUGCAGAUCAUAUACAUCGUGUUAUCUAUAUACGAUGUAUAUAUGAAUAGUGAGCGCUGACAUAACGAAUAUAUCAUGAAUUGAUAUAUAUAUAUAUAUAUAUAUAUAUAUGUACAGUCCUGUAUAUGUAUGUAUGGGGGUAUAUGAAGAAAACGAGAAGGUUCCUUUUUGUUCAUCCUUGUAUGACUUACGACCUACCAUGUACAACUUAACUAGUACGACCUUACAAACCAAAACCCUAAAAAUAUUUUUAAUCAUCGUUUUUAAUUAACUAUUUAUUUUCAACUAGUAUUUAAUAGUUUUGUCUCAAAUAGCCGGCUUGACUUGUUGACAAGCAAUUUUUCUUAAAUAGCGUUUUCAACUUGAGCACUAGAUAAACGUACAUAUAUGGGUCCGAAUGGUGACGGCGGAUUUAGUAAUAAAAGCGGUGCAAAAUUAAAGUACGGGACGGGACAACUGCGGUUCGUGCGGAAUUAAAGUGCGGUGCGGUACAACUGUGGUUUUAAGUAAAAAGCGGUGCAAACUAUUGUUUGAUUGGUGACAAUAUAUAUUUGCAGUAUUGAAUAAAUAUUUAAUUAAUAAAAUAAUUUUAUUUUGAAUAUAUAAUAUAGUUAAAUAAUAUAAAAUAAUAAAUUAUAUUAAAACAUUAAAUAACAAAAUAGACCGAAAUAAUUUUGAUCGGGAAGAAUAUAUUUAGCAGUUUUGCUAAGUAAAUUUAAAGUAAUGUGAUUUAAAGUAUAUAUAUAUUUACAGCUUUUUAAUUUUUAAUUAAAAAUUAAACCGACUCAUUAGUUUUAGUGAAUUUAAUUAACCAUUAUCGACUUAACUCAAAUAUAGUUUUUAACAUAAUAUGUAACUGGAUAGAUAAACUAAUUACGGUUCGACUGACCCGUCCAUUUCAAUUUUCAAAACACUUUUAGGAUUGAGAUAUGAAUUGGGACAAGUUUUUUUCGUGAUUUUGAAUUUUUAAAUUUUCGGAUAUCCAUUUAGGUUCGGAUUCGGGUUCGGACAAAACCUAUAAAAUGAAAUACCAUAAAAAAAUUCAUUCGGUAUUUAUGUCGGAUUUGAAUUGGUUCGAACUCAUUUUUAUUGGACCGGGUUUGAUCCAUAUUUUCGAAUUCGGUUUAUUUGCUCAACCCUAAUUUUAAGUAUCUAAAUUUUUAUUUUGAUAUUUAGAUAGACAUUCAUUUUGGUUUGAUGAAGUGUUUUGCAAUUAAAAAUCUAAAAUCUGAUUUUUUUUUCAACUACAUAACUAUAUUAAUUAGAAUUCGUAUAAUUAUAUAUAUAACUGCAGUUGUUAUUAAAUGAGCAAGUAGUUAAAUAUUUGAAUUAAAUAAUAAAUAAAUACUUAGAAGUAAAAACGCACAUAUAUCUCAAAUUUAUUGUUAUGCUUUUUGUUAAUGGAAAAGAAUAUAUAGCUUUAAAAUUAGAAAAAAAAGAUAUGAAAUGCAAUACAAUAGUAUCAGAUAACAUAAGGAAAUUAAUAAAACAAUCAAUACAAUACUAAAAGGGGAAUACCCUCAAAAUUUAUGCUGCCACGUCACCUAAAAUAAUUGCCCAAUGAAAACCACUUAAACGGCCACGACAGAUGGACUCUCCGUGUUAUUUCUGUCCAGAGUCCACCAUGUAAUAAAAUGGAUUUCUAUUUGGGCUUUGUUAAAUAGCUGGUCCAAGUCUCAUAAAAAGUCUGUUGGAUACUGUUUGUUUAUAUGGCCCAAAAAAAGUAGUUCUGAGAUUUUAUUAGUUUGUCGACCAAACUUUGUCGUUUCAUAGAUUAGGUUUUCAUUGUUCUCAUUCUUCAACCCUUCAACGCCAUGAAUCUCUGUUAAUUUUCACAAGUCUGCAAAACACGUUUCUUUCUCAACUCUUAACCUCCCAACUUUGUUCAUAUACAUAUUUUCGUUUGGGUUUGUUCAACGUAUUCCUCUUUAAUUUGACAAUGAAUUUUUCUUUCCCAUUAAUGAUCUCCAACUCUCCGUCUCCCUUCUCAGACAAUGAAAACCGUAAAUUCACCUCUCAAAUUCUAUAAAUUAGAGAUGGUUGGGUUGAGAGUAGGAUGAAUCUACACAGAUUCUCUCAGUUUAUCUUCUACCUCAAACCAAGCACCCGUCCACCACUCAACCUUUGAUCCUUUAAUGCUCUCCGACUCAGCAGAUCUUCUCAGCUCGGGUAAUCGUUUUAGGACUCUCGAAACAUCAAGAAGAACGGUGAAUUCAUGGGAAUCACUUUACUUCUCUUCAUCUUAUUAGGCUAAGAAGAUCAUAUAUUCCCAUCUCUGUUUCAUUUUUGAAAAAGCCAUAUUAUUUAACUCUUCUAGCUUUCAACGUAGGAUACAGUGAUCCGGCGGCUGAGCCACGUCCCGGUGGUGCUCGCGAUCCCACCAGAAUUGCAGACCUGAGAGUUGUUGGUGUUGGAGAAGAGAAGUGUCGCUAACCUCUUCGUAAGGCCAUAGCUCUCUAGGAUCGUUGGAGGAGUUGUGGGAAUCAACAGAUCUGCUCAGUAAUAGUAUAAGGUGUCGGUUGUUUAUGUGAUCUGUGGAGCAUUGUGUUGCAGAGAGAGAGCUUCUCCGAAUGGUGAGGCUGCAGCAGAAAGCAGUGACGUUGAGAAAAAAGCAUAAUUGAUGUGGCUUCAACUUUGGAACCUGAGGAAGCAGACAAUGGAGUAGGCUACAGUACUCUGGUCAACCAACAAAGGAGUAUAUCGACUAUGCAGUUAAAAAUGUUCUGUUAUACAUGGUUUGCUUGGAAUCAAGGUUAAGGUCAUGCUUGACUGGGACUCUAUUAGGAAGCUAGGACCAAUGACACCAUUACCAGAUGUUGUUAUCAUCCAUACUCCCAAAUGAAAAGAUGUUAAUUCCGCACCUGAUCAGGUUGUUAAUUUUGCUGCUCUUCUAUUGGAAGCUCCCCUCACCCUCACAGCCGUAGAUUACCCUGAGAUGAUCUCAGUCGUCUAGAAGAGAUGGCCAGGAAAGCCUCAUGUUCUUCAUAAAAGUAACCUUUCUAAUGGAGAGAACUUACUCUAUAUGUUGGAUUCAAUAUUGUCAUCACUCUUGAGAUAUAUGCUGAGAAGAGUGCUAAUGGAUGGGCGAGUCUGAUGGUGAGGGCCACUGAGUUGAGCAUUCCAGCAAAGCGGAAAACUCCUCCCUUGGUAUCUAUUUGCGCAAAGCAAGUGGAAAGAGUCACAAAAGUUGCUCAAAACCAGGAGAUUAUAAAGUCACAAGUGGUGGUUAGAGUUUAUUUUUUUCUUUUUACAGUUGUGAUCUGUGGGAUCAUUAUGAUUCACCCUGCUGGGCUGAGGGAGAAGCUAUCUUCAGACAUGUGAUUUGUUAUCUCUUAAAUUUAGCCAUUAUAGAGAGGUAGGGUGAGACCUUUACAGAUGUUAUGAAAGUAUUUAUGAUUGUUGUUUUAUACAUUUUGCAGAUUGUCAUCACUCUUGAGAUAUAUGUUAUUGAGUAUAUUGUUUGGAUUCCUUGGU